CACGGCCGACACCUAAACUGACAUGCAUUUUUCAGAGGAGCAGCCAAGGGAUGGAUGGUAACUGGAGAAGCUGCAGAGACCUACAACUCAGGUGUGAAAAUCUUUCCACAAGACAACGUUGGAAACUAGCAGCUCUGCAGCCCUACAAACAACAAACCGUGAUGCACCGUGUAGUCUGACUCGUUUCAAUCCUGUCUCUGGUUCUGCACCUUCUUUGGACCACAUUAUAACUGACGACCAGGAGAAGAAAAUCAACUCUGAGGAUAACAGGUUCACUUCCUGCCUGAUACAUCCCACCCACUAACAGAAAUGUUUUAAUUCAGCAGCAUGGAGGGUUUUCCAGCAUAAAUGACCUGAGUCAUCCAGAGGUGGACCUUUUGGUGUGUUUUGGAUCAUUGUCUUCCCCCAAGACCUGUCCAAGUGAUCUUGAGCUUAAGGUCACAAACUGAUGGCAGAAUUCCUGGUUCUACAGACUGCACCAAGUCAACCAGAUCUUGGAGAAGCAAAGCAGCCCCAGACAUUACAAUACCACUACCAUGUGUGA